AUGCAUGCAAUCUACCAUAGGCUUGCCAUUUGUCCUAACUCUCUAUGCUUCAAUGUGUUAUAAAUAGAGAUCAAAAAGGGCUUUCAUUGGGUUGUAAUGAGGGCUCUUUGGUAAGGUGAGUAGUUUUUUAGGCAAAGUGACUCAUCCCACAAUCUAUCAAUCACAAUGAACAAAUCAACUUCACCAUUUCUCUUAUCAAUCAAAAACCAAUAUCCCCACAUUUUUUCUUUUCACCCUUAGUGAUACUUAUCAUGAUUAUGAUUCAAAAGGUAAAUCACUCUCAUUUAUGCUCUUUAUUCAAUUUUUAUUUUCCACUUACUUGUUUUUUUCACUCAAUCAAAGUAUGACAAGCAAUUUCAAUCAUUUCCCAACCAUUUUCAUCAAAGCAACCACCAACAAUCAAAGUUCUACCCCUUAGCAUUGGUUCAUUCAAAGAAUGGCUAUAAGGCACAAAAAUGGGUAAACUAGGAUCAUAUGAGAAUUUGGACAUUAUUUAGGUUAAGUGGCUAACAAGGAUGGCCUUAAAUCACUUCAAUAUUAACA
rnacentral:lncRNA from 1 species